rnacentral:tRNA from 1 species
GUGUUGGUGGUUCAGUUGUAGAAUUCUCGCUUGCCAUGUGGGAGGCCCAGGUUUGGUUCCUAGCCAAUGCA